AUUGUCAGAUUUUUAUCCAACAGAAACAACCUUUCCGGUCUGGGCUGCUGAUUGAACCCAGAUGGCGGCUGCCUGUUUUAAUGACUCAUCUCCUUCGUCCAAAGGGCUUUCUUGAAAUAUGGUGGCGAAGGUGACGAUGAGGACGAGCAGAGCGGGCAGUAAACUCAUCAGCAGGACGUUCUGGCUGCAGCCUGACGCAGCGUUGAACUCGUCGUACACGUCUGCUACGCACUCGCUCAAGUCCUCACCGCAGAAGGUGCUGAGGGACAUGUCGUGCCUCCAGUCGGAUUCGUAGACCCUCACCGUCCUGCGUCCUGGAAGAGCAGGUGAAAGGUCAGAGGUCAACAGCUCAGCGUGAGUCUGGCUACAUUCAACUUUCCUUGUGGAGUCACGGUGAUCAGUCAGACAGAGUACAGUGAGUGUUCCAGUGACGCUUACAGAGUCCAGGUACAGGAUGAUCUUCCCCGGCUGCGUCUCCACUCUCUUUAUGACCUCGUCGACCUGGAU